rnacentral:rRNA from 1 species
UACGGAGGAUGCGAGCGUUAUCCGGAUUUAUUGGGUUUAAAGGGUGCGCAGGCGGGCUGUUAAGCCGGCGGUAAAAAUUCAGGGCUCAACCCUGUCGAGCCGUCGGAACUGGCAGUCUUGAGUGGGCGAGAAGUAUGCGGAAUGCGUGGUGUAGCGGUGAAAUGCAUAGAUAUCGAGAGGAACACUCGUGGCGAAGGCGGGUUCCUGGACAUUAACUGACGCUGAGGCACGAAGGCCAGGGGAGCGAAAGGG